rnacentral:rRNA from 1 species
CCUACGGGUGGCUGCAGUGAGGAAUAUUGGUCAAUGGGCGGAAGCCUGAACCAGCCAAGUCGCGUGAGGGAAUAAGGCCCUACGGGUCGUAAACCUCUUUUGCCGGGGAGCAAGGGCGGGGACGUGUCCCGGCCCGGAGAGUACCCGGAGAAAAAGCAUCGGCUAACUCCGUGCCAGCAGCCGCGGUAAUACGGAGGAUGCGAGCGUUAUCCGGAUUUAUUGGGUUUAAAGGGUGCGUAGGCGGUUUGAUAAGUUAGAGGUGAAAUACCGGUGCUCAACACCGGAACUGCCUCUAAUACUGUUGAACUAGAGAGUAGUUGCGGUAGGCGGAAUGUAUGGUGUAGCGGUGAAAUGCUUAGAGAUCAUACAGAACACCGAUUGCGAAGGCAGCUUACCAAACUAUAUCUGACGUUGAGGCACGAAAGCGUGGGUAGCAAACAGGAUUAGAUACCCCAGUAGUC